rnacentral:lncRNA from 1 species
ACCACAAAUGUUUUAUAACUGAAUAUCUGCAAACUGCAUGAUCAGAACCUCCUAUUACAAACCCAAUCAGUUGAGAUUCCAUGGAAAGAACAUUUGAAGUAGAUAUAGAUGGAAAGAAGAUAUGAUCAAAGAAAAAUAAACCAUGCAUAAAGGGUAAUAACCUUCACACCAGCAGCACUGCAUAAUCAUACAGCGUCCCUCACUCAUGGGCGACAAGGAUCUACAACAAAUAAAGGAGUCCUUACUGAAGGGUGAAAAGCUGCAUGCAGCCAUCAGAAGAUAACUAUACGGCAAAACUGAACUGAAAAUGUGCCUAACCAGAUUCAGCCAUAAAGAGUUCUAAACAGAAAAUAGUUGAUUAAUAAAGAUAGAAUAGAAUACAUGAUGAACAAGUGAUGCAAAUAAAGAUGACAAACUAGCAUGGCUAAGUAUUAUUAUGAAUAGACACCUCCUAAUUUAUUUAUUUUGUUCAAUUUCACCAUCUCUCAAUCCUUCGUAGUGUCUUGUUUAUGCAAAACUAGCAAGAUGGAAAUGGACUAUUCUGUCCAUGUUUUCUUUUCAUUCAUGGCGGGGACUUCUAAAAUUAGCCAAAAACAUGGACAGAAAAUGCAGAGGGCACGGGCUGACUUGGACGGCCUCGCACCAGAUACAGAUUGAAUUUAUUUUCACAUGAUCCUAAAUUGGCAUUGCAUGACCGUAAAGCAGGAAACCAAAUUGAUGGGGGAAAUUCCUAAACUGACAUGAGGAUCCAUGGGCGACGCCGUACGAAUUGAAGGUAGGCUGAGCUGAGCACCGUAGAUAGAUCUCUUAUACGGGAACCCCAAGAAUAACAGCAUCAGACAGGAUCGAAG